UAAAACAAACACAAACACACAAAAUUAGACAAAUGUAAGGCAGCACAAUGAAAACACACACACAUUUCUUUGUUCACACCACCUUCAUCACGUCGCUCGGCAUGAUGGGACGGCACCCAGCCCAGCCUCACCGUUAACCUGCCUCCCGGUUGAGCCCUCCGAUCCAUGGCGGCGGGUUGAAGGUUUAUUUUCAAAACAACGUGACAUGGUGGAGAAAAAGGGAGGGAUGUUAUUUUUCCUGAAGGUUCAGCAUUCUGACUGCGGAGAGAAACUCUUUAAUAAACAAACAACAACAACAACAACAAAGAGGUCAAUGGGAGGAUCCUCAGGGGGAGAUGCACGUUGUAAAUCACCAGGAAAUGGAGGAUGUGGUUAACCAGGAGGAAGAAGAGGAUGAUGUCAGCCUGGAGGAGCAGUAGCACAUGUGCAAGGCUGUUGUGCUGAACCAGGGCGGUCAGCAAGACUUUUAGGAAGACCAGAGCAACAAAGGGAACGCCAGUUCCUUCAUGUGUAUAAUAAAUUAUAGUUAUAGUCUUUUCAUUUUCAUUUUAUAUAAUAAACUUUUUUAGCGUGG